rnacentral:tRNA from 1 species
GGCCGACUGGCCUAAUGGUUAAGGCGUCAGUUUCCGGUGUUUGACCCAGUCAGCUGAAGAUUCUGGGUUCGACUCCCAGGUUGGUCG